AACGCGAAGAACCUUACCUAGCCUUGACAUUGAUAGAACACACUAGAGAUAGAGUGGUGCCCUUCGGGGAACUUGAAAACAGGUGCUGCACGGCUGUCGUCAGCUCGUGUCGUGAGAUGUUGGGUUAAGUCCCGCAACGAGCGCAACCCUCGUCGUUAGUUGCUAACAGUUCGGCUGAGCACUCUAGCGAGACUGCCUUCGCAAGGAGGAGGAAGGUGAGGACGACGUCAAGUCAUCAUGGCCCUUAUGGCUAGGGCUACACACGUGCUACAAUGGGGCGUACAGAGAGUUGCGAUACCGCGAGGUGGAGCUAAUCUCAUAAAGCGUCUCUCAGUUCGGAUUGAUCUCUGCAACUCGAGAUCAUGAAGCUGGAAUCACUAGUAAU
rnacentral:rRNA from 1 species